CCUACGGGCGGCAGCAGUGAGGAAUAUUGGUCAAUGGACGAGAGUCUGAACCAGCCAAGUAGCGUGAAGGAUGACUGCCCUAUGGGUUGUAAACUUCUUUUAUAUGGGAAUAAAAUGUUCCACGUGUGGGAUUCUGUAUGUAUAAGAUGAAUACAGAUCGGCUAACACCGUGCAAGCAGCCGGGGUAAUACGGAGGAACCGAGCGUUAUCCGGAUUUAUUGGGUUUAAAGGGAGCGUAGGUGGAUUGAUAAGUCAGUGGUGAAAGUUUGCGGCUCAACCGUAAGAUUGCAGUUGAAACUGGCAGUCUUGAGUGCAGUAGAGGUGAGCGGAAUUCGUGGUGUAGCGGUGAAAUGCUUAGAUAUCACGAGGAACUCCUAUUGCGAAGGCAGCUCACUGGACUGCAACUGACACUGAGGCUCGAAAGUGUGGGUAUCAAACAGGAUUAGAUACCCCUGUAGUC
rnacentral:rRNA from 1 species